rnacentral:rRNA from 1 species
GACGAACGCUGGCGGCGUGCUUAACACAUGCAAGUCGAACGGAAAGGCCCUGCUUUUGUGGGGUUCUCGAGUGGCGAACGGGUGAGUAACACGUGAGUAACCUGCCCUUGACUUUGGGAUAACUUCAGGAAACUGGGGCUAAUACCGGAUAGGAGCUUCUGCUGCAUAGUGGGGGUUGGAAAGUUUCGGCGUUUGGGGAUGGACGCGAGGCUUAUCAGCUUGUUGGUGGGGUGGUGGCUUACCAAGGCUUCGACGGGUAGCCGGCCUGGGAGGGUGACCGGGCACAUUGGGCCUGGGAUACGACCCAGACUCCUACGGGAGGCAGCAGUGGGAAAUAUUGCAAGAUGGGCCGAAGCCUGAUGCAGCAACGCCGCGUGCGGGAUGACGGCUGUCGGGUUGUAAACCGCUUUCGCCUGUGACGAAGCGUGAGUGACGGUAACGGGUAAAGAAGCACCGGCUAACUACGUG